AACGAACGCUAGCGGCAGGCUUAAUACAUGCAAGUCGAGGGGCAGCAUGAAUGUAGCAAUACAUUUGAUGGCGACCGGCAAACGGGUGCGGAACACGUACACAACCUUCCUAUAAGUGGGGAAUAGCCCAGAGAAAUUUGGAUUAAUACCCCGUAACAUAAUGAUGUGGCAUCACAUUAUUAUUAUAGCUUCGGCGCUUAUUGAUGGGUGUGCGGCUGAUUAGAUAGUUGGCGGGGUAACGGCCCACCAAGUCUACGAUCAGUAGCUGAUGUGAGAGCAUGAUCAGCCACACGGGCACUGAGACACGGGCCCGACUCCUACGGGAGGCAGCAGUAAGGAAUAUUGGUCAAUGGACGCAAGUCUGAACCAGCCAUGCCGCGUGAAGGAUUAAGGUCCUCUGGAUUGUAAACUUCUUUUAUCUGGGACGAAAAAAGGCUAUUCUUAGUCACUUGACGGUACCAGAUGAAUAAGCACCGGCUAACUCCGUGCCAGCAGCCGCGGUAAUAC
rnacentral:rRNA from 1 species